GUCUUCAUGGCGUCAUCCUGACAAACGUAUUUGGCACUCUCCUAGAGGUGAUGUUGGUUCCAACUGUUCUGUAGGGGGUGGGGAAAGGAGUUUCUUCUAGAUUCACUAGACAUUUAGCCUACAAGAAGUGCUCCUCAUUCACAGAACCACUUAAACCACUUCUCUUGACUCUUCAUCUUGGCUUUAUCAGAACAAAUCUGUUAUCAAGGCAAGUAUUGAGGCAUGUCUUGUGGAGCUCAUCUUGCCCACUUGUGUGCACUAACUUUUUCACAUCCCCUGGCUGCAGUGAAGUGAAGCCUGAAGAAGAACAGGGUAAAGCCCUGCAUAUCAAUUGAGGGAAACAAACAAAGCAAAACAAAACAACCAACCAACCAACCAAACAAACAAAAAAACCAAAUAAAAUAAGGAAAUGCAUAAGAAUUUGAACUUGAUGUUCAUAAAUAAGGCAAAAUAAAAUAAUGUGCCUUGAAGCCAAAAGUUUAUCUGUCUCAACAUAUAUUUAACAUUAAAGUUUGUUAUAACAGCAGAAAAAAAAAAAAAAAAAAAAAAAGAGAGAGAAAUAUCUGUCUGUCAGCUACCUUGACAUCCUUCAUCAUGUCUAUCAAAGUGCUUUUGGCCACAUCAUUUCUAAUAUUUUUUGAGGUGUUUGUUUUACAGCAGAUAUACUGGGAGAUACUGGUCGAGAAAUAUCAUCUCCAAGCUCACCUGGCUGUAUAUCUCCCAGCUCUAGAGCCCUCUUUCACCAUCAGCAAAGAGACAUCAACACCUGCAUAAAUGGCUUAAUUUCAUCCCAAUCAAGAUGUCUAAUAUGGACAGGAUGAAUCAUUUUCAUUGGAUGCUUAAUCUUCCCUGCUGUCUGGAAAUAGAACAUAGAUAAAUUAAUUAGUAUGGCCAUCUGACAUCUACAUAGGAGAUUGAAACUGAGUUGAAAGGUCCUCUAAGUCUUGGAGAUACAGGUAUUAUACCUUAGUUAUUGAACAAGAGCAAGUAAAACAAAAAC
rnacentral:lncRNA from 1 species